GAGAGUGUUAAAAUUAUUAUUUGUUUCUUCAAUUUAAUUCUUCUUUUUUGUUUCAUGUUUUGGGCUAUGUUUCGUUUGCUGCUCAAGCCCAAGAUGAGGUCAAGUCUUAUGGAGCCCAUAUCAAGGUGAAGCCCAUUUCUACUCUCUUCCUAUUGAAGUCGAAGAUCUGGUCCAGCCUGUUUCCUCCUUGGCGUUGCCUCUCUAGGGUUCUCUCUUCUCAAUCUUUGACAGCUGCGUUCAGUGAUUGCUAGCUGUCCCGCGCCUUCCUUUUUGGUGCUCGGUUUCUAUAAUUGUUCCUGCUCUACAACUCUAUAUAAGAAGCUUGUUGGUGGUGUUGAAGAGCAUCUCAAAAAUUCAGUCUACAAUAACAUAUCUGUUCAUAUUUUAUUGGCUUAAACUUUCAGCCUCUUCUUGUCAAUCGUUGAUUGCAUUCUUGUAUUGUACUUUUUGAUCAAUAAAUACCACUUCAAUUUGUGAUAUGGUAUCAGAGCAAAAGGGCUCUUGAUCAAUUUCUGGGCAUUCCUCUGUUCUGUGAAACUUAGGGUUCAUCGAUUAAAGCCUUGAUCGAUUGUUUUGAAAGUUGAUUCCGCUGCUGUCUUCUGGCGAUUAAGUGUUAAAAGAACAAAGAGAAUUCCUUGUCUCCAUUGAAAAAAUCUGAUCUGGAAGGUAAUAUUGAGGUAUAGUUAUCUAUCCUUGGUUUUUUAUAUUAUAAUCAUUAUUAUAAAUACAAUAAUAAUAAAUAAAUAAAUAAAAAAAAACCUUUGCUGCAAUCAUCGAAUCUUGUUAUUUUAUUUCCUUUGGUUAUCUUUCCAACUUGAAUUGUUAGUAUCAAGAUAACUGUCAAAACAAUUUAUCAACCAUUUGAUAUUUAAAUUAUUUAUUAUUAAUCCAUUGGUUUAUUUGUCCUUUUAUAUAUAUAAAUCUGUUCUGGUCAAUAUUGUUUCGUGUUUGGGAUUGUAUCUGUGAAUCUAAUCUGCCCGCUCGUAACUGGAACUGAUCCGGUUAAAAGCUCUUCUGAAGCUGUGACUAGCAAUUCUAAGGUUUGAUCGGAACACCCUAACUUGGAUCUUUUUUGUAAGAUCGUUUUCUUCUCUCUUUUAGUUUUUUGUCACUCAGGUUAUAUCUGCUUAGACAUACCCUGUUUGCUUGUUGCAUUUUUUUCUUAUUGCAUUCAGUUUUUUUUUCCUGAUUGCUUUGUGAUUGGUCUUAUCAUUUAUUAAAUGGGUGAUUCUGGUUCUACUAUUGUCAAUGAGACUUUGGUUAGUAAACUUGAUGCUAGUGAUCCUCUAUAUUUGCAUGCUAGCGAUUCUAGUAAUCUUACUAUUGUUAAUAUUAAGUUAAAAGGAUCUGAAAACUACACUAUUUGGUCUAGUGCCAUGAAACUUGCUUUACAAGUUAAAAAUAAAAUUGGCUUCAUUGAUGGUUCUUGCACCAAGUCAAAAGAUAAUGAUGUCUUAGCAAAGCAAUGGGAUAGAUGUAAUUCUGUAGUUAUUACAUGGAUCCUUAAUUCUGUGUCUGAGGAAUUAUAUAUGGGCCAGGUAUUCUCAAAACUUGCUUCUGAGGUAUGGGCGGAUUUAAAAGAAACAUAUGACAAAAUAGAUGGAUCCGUCAUUUUUGGUUUACACCAAAAAAUUAAUUCUUUAAGCCAAAAUGGAACUUCUGUAUCUGAAUACUAUCACAAGCUUAAUACUAUGUGGAAACAAUUUGAUCAAAUGAUUCAACUCCCUUCAUGUACUUGUCGUGCCUCAAAAGAGUUUAAUGAUUUUAGUCACAUGAUAAAAUUAAUGCAGUUUCUUAUGGGUCUUGAUGAUGUGUACCAUCCGGUUAGGACAAAUUUACUAACUAGUGAGACUCUUCCGUCUGUCAAAACUGCUUUUUCAAUCAUUUCAAGGGAAGAGUCUCAUAGAAACUCAAAAAACCCUUUAAAAGAUCAAACUCAAAAUGUUGGUUUCGUUUCAAAAACAAACCAGUCUUUCGAAACUAAGAAAAAAUUCAAUAGGGGUCCUAAUCCUAAUCUGAAGUGUACACAUUGCAACAAGUUGGGACAUACUGUGGACAGGUGCUAUGAAAUUGUUGGGUAUCCACAAAAUUCUAAAUCAAGAAGUAAUCAGAGUACUAAGUCUUUUGCAUCAAACAACUCUGUGUCAAACAAAGUUGAGUCAUCUUCUGCUUCUACUAUCCCCGCUUUAACCCCUGAUCAAGUGUCUAGGCUGCUAGGUCUCUUAAAUGAAAGAACUGGUGAAAGCUCACAAAAUGCUAAUGUAGGAGGUAAUUCUUUUUGUUCUAAUAGUUUCUACAUGCGUGUCUUUGGUUUCUCCAAUAGUUCUUAUAAUGCUAGUAGUAUUAAUUGGAUCGUAGAUUCUGGUGCUAAUCAACACAUGGUCAGGACAGAAGAAGGUAUUUUUGAUGCAAUUGAUGUUUCUGAAUUUAACAUUAAAGUCAAACAUCCAAAUGGUUCUGAUGCUACUGUCACAAAAAUUGGAAAAUAUAAACUAAAUGAUAAAGUGAUUUUGACUGACGUGUUUGUAGUACCAGAAUACUAUGUGAAUCUCUUGUCUGUUUACAAGCUUGCUAAAGACAAUAAACUUAGGGUAUUAUUUGAUGAGAAUAAUUGUUAUAUUCAGGAUUCACACACAAAGAACACCCUGGUGACUGGUAAUCAAGUUGAUGGGUUGUACUUUUGUGGAGAUACUUCUAAAACUAUGAAGGUGUGUUUUAAUAGCCAUGAUACUUUAAACUUAUGGCAUUCUAGACUAGGACACCCUUCUAAUCCUGUUCUUAGUGUCUUAAAAGAUAGCUUAAAUCUAAAAUUCACAAAUAAUGAUAUUCCUUGUGAAGUUUGUCAUAGAGCCAAGCAACAUAGGGUUCCCUUUCCUCUAAGUGAUCAUAAAACUUCAUCUUUAGGGGAACUUAUUCAUCUUGAUGUUUGGGGGCCUUAUAGAAUCCAAAGUAGAGAAGGGUAUAAAUAUUUUUUAUCUGUUGUGGAUGAUUAUUCAAGAGCUGUGUGGGUAUAUUUAAUGGAACAUAAAAAUGAGGUCUUUGAUAACAUUAAAAGCUUUUUUAAUAUGAUUAAAACUCAGUUUGGAAAAACCAUAAAGACCUUUAGAAGUGAUAAUGGUACCGAAUUUGUGAAUCAUCAAACGAAAAACUUUUUCAAUACUAACGGUAUUAUUCAUCAAACAACUUGUCCAUAUACCCCACAACAAAAUGGGAUUGUAGAAAGGAAACAUAGACAUCUGUUAAACGUUGCUAGGUCUCUUUUAUUUCAAGGGGGACUUCCUCUUAGGUUUUGGUCCGAAUGCAUUCUAACUGCCGUAUAUCUUAUUAACAGGACGCCAUCCUCCAUUCUAAACGGAAAAUCUCCUUAUGAUCUAGUCUAUGGAUUUAAACCCUUCCUUAACCAUCUUCGUAACUUUGGUUGUCUUUGUUUUAGCACUGUCUUAAACAAUCCUGAUAAAUUUGGAAGUCAUGCAGAAAAAUGUGUUUUUUUAGGAUACUCAAAUCAAAAAAAAGGAUAUAAACUUUGGAGUAUUGAUAAAAAACAAAUUAUUUUCUCUAGGGAUGUUAGAUUUUAUGAAAAUGUUUUCCCUUUUAAAGAUAAUAAAAAUUUAUGUGAGUCUAACCAAAAUACUUCUAUAAACAACUUAAAUUUCUUUGAUUUUUUUGAUGAAACCAUAGUUUAUGAAGAUGGAAAUAUUCCCAAUGAUGAAGGGGGGGUUCAAAACGAAGUACAUGAUGACUCCACUAUUAAUGAUCAGCAGCCGCAAGUGACUACUGAACCUGCUGGCACGGCUGUGGAACAGCAGCCUAGCAGUGAAAGAAGUAUUCCCGGCAUGGCAGACAUUACUAGUAGGAAUGAUGAUGUAAUACCUCCUGAGGGAACUAGUGAAACUCCUGCAAUAAGGAGAUCCACUAGAAAUGCUAAUUUUCCAAAGAAACUACAAGAUUUUAUUAUAGAAGGAAAAGUUAAAUAUGGUCUCGAAAAGGUUCUAAAUUAUUCAAAAUUAUCUCCUGAAAAUUUCUGCUUCACCUCUGUCUUAAAUAAAAGUCUUGAACCUAGAUCAUAUAAAGAGGCUGUCUCCGAUCCCAAUUGGGUUCGGGCUAUGAAUGAGGAAAUGGAGGCCUUGCAUAAGAACAACACUUGGCAGUUGGUUGACUUACCUUUAGGAAGAAAACCUAUAGGAUGCAAAUGGGUGUUCAAAAUUAAAUAUAAGUCCACUGGUGAGAUUGAAAGGUAUAAAGCUAGACUCGUUGCAAAGGGGUAUAGUCAAAAGGAGGGUAUUGAUUUUGAGGAAACCUUUUCUCCCGUAGUAAAAAUGGUCACUGUUAGAUGUAUAAUUAGUCUGGCUGUUGAAAAAAAUUGGCCUCUUUAUCAAUUAGACAUCAAUAAUGCUUUUUUGUACGGUGACUUAAAAGAGGAUAUAUAUAUGAGUCUACCGGAGGGUUAUUAUUCCAAAGAUGAAUCUAAAGUUUGCAAGCUUGUUAAAUCCUUAUAUGGCUUAAAACAAGCACCUCGUAUGUGGAAUGAGAAGUUGGUUCGUGUCCUUAUUGAUUUUGGCUUUAAACAAAGUAAGUGUGACCACUCUCUAUUCAUUAAAUCUACAAACUCUGUGUUUCUUGUUCUCUUAGUUUAUGUUGAUGAUAUUGUCUUAACUGGUAAUGAUAUAUCUGAAAUUGACAAAGUAAAGAAACUUCUUCAAUCAAAAUUUUUGAUUAAAGACCUAGGCUUGUUAAAAUACUUUCUUGGAAUUGAAGUAAUUAGGUCCUCUCAAGGUAUUUGUUUAUCUCAACGAAAGUAUUGUCUAGAUCUUUUGGCAGAGUUUGGGCUCACUGGUUGCAAACCAGUUAACACUCCCAUCGAGCAAAACUACUCUGUCGUGUCUUCUUGUAAACAAAAUGAUGAACCCUUAUUGGACAUAACUGGUUAUCAAAAACUGAUAGGAAAACUUAUUUAUUUAUCUCAUACUAGACCCGAUAUUUCCUACUCUGUUCAGUUCUUGAGUCAAUUCAUGCAUAAACCUUCUAAGUCACAUUUACAGAUUGCUUUGAGACUUCUCAGGUAUCUUAAGAAGUCCCCAGGUAAGGGAAUUUUAUUUACAAAAGGUACCUCUUUUGACUUAACAGCUUACGCCGAUUCAGAUUGGGGAAAAUGCGUUGAAACAAGAAGAUCGGUAACGGGUUUUUGCAUUUUUCUAGGUAACUCCUUGGUAUCGUGGAAAAGCAAAAAGCAAAACACCGUCUCACGGUCUUCUGCUGAAGCCGAGUACCGUGCCAUGUGUUCUGCUACCUGUGAAAUUAUGUGGUUGGCAAAUAUUCUUAAAGAACUAAACAUUCAAAUCGAAUUGCCUAUUUCAUUAUUUUGUGAUAAUUCUGCUGCUAUAUCUAUAACAGCUAAUCCGGUUUUUCAUGAUAGAACUAAACAUUUCGAAAUCGACUUGUUCUUCUUAAGGGAAAAAAUUGCCUCUGGUUUCUUAAAAGUUAUCUCAACUGUGUCCAAAGACCAGUUAGCAGAUGUGUUUACUAAAGGACUUCUGGUAAACCAACAUGAGAAGAUGUGCAAUUUACUUAACCUGUAUGAUGUCUUUGCGAAUUAAAUUGAGGGGGGGUGUUAAAAUUAUUAUUUGUUUCUUCAAUUUAAUUCUUCUUUUUUGUUUCAUGUUUUGGGCUAUGUUUCGUUUGCUGCUCAAGCCCAAGAUGAGGUCAAGUCUUAUGGAGCCCAUAUCAAGGUGAAGCCCAUUUCUACUCUCUUCCUAUUGAAGUCGAAGAUCUGGUCCAGCCUGUUUCCUCCUUGGCGUUGCCUCUCUAGGGUUCUCUCUUCUCAAUCUUUGACAGCUGCGUUCAGUGAUUGCUAGCUGUCCCGCGCCUUCCUUUUUGGUGCUCGGUUUCUAUAAUUGUUCCUGCUCUACAACUCUAUAUAAGAAGCUUGUUGGUGGUGUUGAAGAGCAUCUCAAAAAUUCAGUCUACAAUAACAUAUCUGUUCAUAUUUUAUUGGCUUAAACUUUCAGCCUCUUCUUGUCAAUCGUUGAUUGCAUUCUUGUAUUGUACUUUUUGAUCAAUAAAUACCACUUCAAUUUGUGAUAGAGAGAGAUAGAGAUUUCUUCUUGAGAUACAUAAGAGAUAGAUAGACAGAGAGAGAGAGAGAGAGAGAGAUGGGGAGAGCCCCUUGUUGUGACAAAGCAAAUGUGAAGAAAGGGCCAUGGUCUUCUGAAGAAGAUGCAAAACUCAAAGAAUUUAUUGGGAAAUAUGGAACUGGUGGGAACUGGAUUGCUCUCCCUCAAAAAGCUGGCCUUAAAAGAUGUGGAAAGAGUUGCAGAUUAAGGUGGCUAAACUAUCUAAGACCCAACAUUAGACAUGGUGAAUACUCUGAUGAGGAAGACAGGAUCAUAUGCAACUUGUAUGCUAGCAUUGGUAGCAGAUGGUCUGUUAUAGCUGCUCAACUACCAGGAAGGACUGAUAAUGAUAUCAAGAAUUACUGGAACACUAAACUGAAGAAGAAACUUUUAACUAUGCCUUCUUACCUUCAAGAAAAACAAACAUUUUUUUCAUCUAUGUCCUUUCAACCACCACCACCAUCAUAUAAUAUUUCAUCACACCAAAUCUUGAACAAUUCAUCAUCAUGUUAUAACUCUUUUAGUACCCCUAACUUCAUGAAUGUUGACAACAUGUCCAACUCAUUCUUUGUUCAUGAUGAUAUUCAUAACAAUCUUACUAAUCUUCAAUCACCAACACCUCUUGCAAACAAUUUGAUGAGUAACAACAGUGUUGAUGUUGUUAAUGAUAACUGUUUGAGUUAUCUAGGGUUUCAAGAUGGCCAUUAUGGCAUGUGCAAUAGUCCAAUGCUCAUGUAUGGAAGUACGUGUUCUUCUUCUGAAGGUGGGAAUUACAACAAAGAUCAUGAACAGAAGCAAAAGUAUCAAAUCAAGCAAGAAGAUUACCAUAUAACCCUUGAUAAUCAGGUGGUUGGAGAUCAAGUUCAAAGUCAAAGUUCCAUGAUCAAGAACCAUGCAACCCUUGAAGAGGUGAAGCAACUAAACCUCACCAGCUACUUGUUCCAUGAUGAUGAAGAAAACAAGACAGCACAUUAUAAAAAGGGGAUGUGCUCCAAUUAUUACUGAUUAGGUUAGAUUAUUUAAAUUAGAAUAUUGUAAUUAAGUGGUAAUUAAGAGGAGAUGGUCAUGUAAGUACGUUAUGGUUUGAAAGAGCAUUAGAUGGUAUGUUUUUUUUUUUUGGUUUUUUAGAUGAGGUUCACACUAGAGACUUUUCCAGUUUCUUGGGGUUUGUGUUGAUAUGUA